AGUUGAAUUUGUACCAGGUUGCCGAUAAUUUAAUAUUUACGAGCGUAAAAAAUAUUUCAUGCGAAACUUGAAUCAGUAUAAAUACUUUAAACUUAUAUUCACUCGGCUCUUAAAACAAGUGUAUGUCUACGUUAAAGUUGCCUUCAAACUACGGAAAUAUAAUAUUAUAAUAUAUAAAUAUCGCUCACCCUACUUUUAAAUGUCACUGUUCACACUUAGAUGUAAUAUUAUAUAUUAUAAUCCGUAGUUUGAAAUAAGGUUUAUAAAUCAACCAUAUCCCGCCUUGUAGUUGUUAUGCCUAUCUUUAUCACAGACAAAAGAAAAAGGUAGAUGGAGACCUCGCGCACGCGUGUUCACAAAAAUAAGUCAGUAAAAAUUGUAAUGAUGUCAUCAAAUAGCGAUGCAUCCUACAAAUGUUAUUGGUCGAUAAAAGGAUAGUUUGCUAAAACAUUUUUUAGCAAAUAGUGCAAAGUUCGAGGCAAUUAAGUUCUAGCUGUCAGUUUUGUGCUGUUUUCUAUCUUUUUUUUGUUUAGUCUGUGCGCCAUAUGAUAUCCUUUAUGUAGCAGAAUAACCAAUUUGUCCAUGUUACCUUGUACCAAAGUAUCUAUUACACAUGCUUCUAAUUUUACCAUUUUCGCUCAAUUCUUUUUAUGUAAGGAUAUUCGCACUUAUACUUUUAUCGGGUCCGAUUAUUUUAUUUAUCGAAGACUGAACAGUAAACACGGCGGAUUUAAUAAGUUCUUUGAAAAUGAAGUUGCACUAACUUUUUAACAUAUUUUAUCAUUCUCUGUGUUAAUGAGUAUAAUAAAUAACCUAAUUUUGAAUAUUCUUGGAUGAUUAAAUUCUACUUACAUACGUGAAUCUUAGAUGUCAUGAUUUCUAGAAUAGUUCGUUUCGAUAUUUCUGUUUUCAAUAAUAAACGAUAAGAUCCGAUAAAAGUAAUAUUAUAUGCGCCUAUUGGAGAUUAAUUUAUCAUCGGUUAUUAGAAUUUGUUAUUUGUAUAGGCAAAAUCUUGGCGGAAUUCUUGGCCUUUUGCCAAACGCAUUGGCCGAAAAUGGUCUAGACCUGACAAUCGCAAAGCUGAUGUCUCGACGUUUGUAAAUAAUAAAAUAACAUUAAAAUCAAAACCGAUUUCAAUUUAAGUUUAAUCACAAUAAUCAGUGAAGGGAUCAUAAAAAUAAGUCAAGUACCUAGUUUUUAAGAAAAAACCGUGUAACCUGAAUAAAUAAUCAUUUUUUGAUGUCGGUUAACGGCCGAUAUUAAUAAUCCUAUCCGUAAUCUUUCGAUAGGUUGCAUAGCAAUGUUGUUAUUUGUCAAGAACAGCUUGGUCUUAUUUAACAAUAAUAGGACUACUAGGACUUAUCGACAUCGCAUAGAUGAAUAUUAAUUUCGGCCGUAAAACUUCUCAUAAUAUUGUCUCGAGAUUUCUUUAUUUUCGUCUAAACUUCAUGUAUAUGUUAUGUUAUAAUUUGAUUGUUGAAUUGAACCAUUCCACUUGUCUCAUGUAUUUCGGUGUUUAUAAUUAUAUGUGAUAAUUUAAAAUGGAACAAGCUUAAUGUUAAUAAUUUAAAAGAGUUAUUUUAUGUUUUAAUCGUUGUAUUUUUAAGAUAAUAAAUUAAAUAUCUUGGAAACCUA